UUGAUGGCUGCACGUGCAUUUGGUGCACCUCGGAUUGUCAUUGUUGAUGUGGAUGACUAUCGGUUGUCUCUUGCAAAGGAUCUUGGAGCAGAUGAAGUUGUUAAAGUUUCAACUGACAUUCAGGUUUCCUUGUUUUUAUGAAAUUCAUUCAAAUCUCUCCAUUCGUUCAUAAUACAGAUGUCUUCGAUAAUUUAAUUUACAUUCACCAGUCCAAUUUUUAUGGUUAGCAUAGGGAGCUUAGUGAAAAAUGGGCAAUGCUCAAAUUCACACACAAGAAAUACCAGUGUUUUCGAAUGUUACAAAGUUCAAGAGUUGCUAAAAUACAUAGCUUAACUCUGCGUUACUAACGUAUCUAAUGGUGCAGGAUGUAGAUGAAGACGUCACUCAAAUUCAAAAAGCCAUGAAAGGUGAGAUAGAUGUGACAUUGGACUGUGCUGGCUUUGAAAAGACAAUGUCAACAGCCUUAAAAGCCAGCCGACCUGGUGGCAAAGUUUGUCUCAUUGGACUGGGUCACAUUGAGAUGACUGUUCCACUAGGUCCAGCUGCAGCAAGGUAACUGGAUACCUGCUUUAUGCAACACAAGUCAUUUUUUACAUUUUACAAAGUAUAAUUAACAAGUUUUUUAUAAUAUGGCAGGGAAGUUGACAUAAUUGGCGUGUUUCGGUACAAAAACACAUAUCCUGUGUGCUUGGAGUUUAUAAGAAGUGGUAAGAUUGAUGUGAAGUCGAUGAUAACACAUAGAUUUGGUUUCUCACAGAAGGAGGUGGAAGAGGCCUUUGAAACCAGUGCUCGUGGUGGUAAAGCUAUUAAGGUCAUGUUCAACCUGUAAACUCUCAUACAUUGAGAGACAGACACAAAGUGCUGUGUGUUCUGCAUGUCUCAUAUCAAUUGUACUCUGCAGAGUAAAAAAUCAAUAAAAUCUGUUCACAAUGUGAUAUUUAUAUUUCAUAUUACACUACUUUUCCUUUUCCCACUCUUACCCAAUGUGCCAAUUUCACAUGUUGAACCCGACAGAUGGCAAAGGCUCACACACAUGGCCUUGAAAUAAACAACCCACAAAUUGCAAACCAUUCUUCAACUACAACUGCAAUUAUACUCUUCAAAAUUAAUAAUUAAGUAUUUAAACUUAUCCAAUUUUUAAAAAUUGAACCCGAAAACUCAUAUGAUUUUAUAAAUUGUACUAAUUAUAUAAUUCUAAUGUUUUAUUUGUAAUUAUUGGUGGACUCAUGUUUUUUUUAAAUUAGUGUAAUCUUAAAGAUUCAAUUUUAACCUUUUAAAAUUUUUUAUUACUCAACUGUUACUGUUGAAAAUUAAGGAUACGAUUGUAACUAUUCCAUACUUUUUUGUGGUGAUUUUUGCCAUUUUUUCUUAAAAGUAUAAUGAUCUAUUUUAAAUUAUCUAUCAAAUUUAGAUAUUUUAAAAUGGGAACAUUUUCAAUUUUCCUAAUUUAAGAAUUUCAAGAAUCAAAUCUCUAACCAAAUUGACAGAGUCUACUUCAAUUUUUUUUUUUCACAUUUAUAUACUUCAAAAGAUUAAUAAUUUUUCAAAAACUAUUUGAUUUUUUUUUGUGACAAAAUAUGCUCAAAUAUGCACCAACAAAUUGAAUGUUAUAAAAUGAAUUAUAUCUAAACUUAAACUGACAUAUAUACAUAUACAUAUACACGCAUAUAUAUAAAUUGUGUAUAUAUGGAUAUAGAUGUAUGUAUAUGUAUAUAUAUGUAUACAUAUGCACAUAUGUGAAAAGAAAAAAAAAAACUCCGUAAAUAGUUUUAAUAUUUUUCUGUUUUUUAAAAUAUCUCUAAUGAAAAUUGUUUUGCCUGUGUUGUUUAAUUGCUUUCUAAAUUACUUCUCUCAAACAUUAUUUAUCUAUGGAAUCUUGUAGUCUAGUCAUUUCUUUCUAGUUUUUUGGAGCAACUUCUAAGAUAUUUUGUGUGAAACUUAUUUCUAAUUUAUAUCACAUCCUGUUUAAUUGCUUUAGCUCUAAUGUUAUUGUUAUGAAUUACAUUUUCAUAUUUGGUUGAUAAACAAUUGUGGUUUUGUAAUCUGAAUGCUUUGAUUUAGGCAAUGAAGCAACAGUAUCAAAAUAUUUAUUAGGCCUUCUUUUGAAUUUAUUUCAACUUUUAAAUGUAUAAUUAUGUUACAUAUUGCAAUCUUCCAUUAAUAGUGUGUUAUUCUUUGCUAAUCAUCUCAUAGGAAUGUUUACAUUCAUUGUAGAAUGUCUAGCCAUAUUUGGUCAAGUAGUAAUUAGUUAACCAUGUAUUUCAUAGUUUAGCUAGAAUACUUGUCAUAGCUAGGUUUAAGGAUAAAUUGAUUGAUUAGAAUAGGACAAAUUUCACUAAUUAAUCAUACAAUAAUGAAAUCCUAAAGCUUAAUGUACACUUCAAGAGUCUUAUAUGAUCACUUUUUGAAUCCAAUAAAAUUUAUGAUGUGUAGUUUAAUUAGUUGUGCUUUAGUUAACUGUCUUUAAUUAAUAAUUAUAAUAUUUUUUUAUAUUAAACUUUAGCUAUUUGACACGACUUAAGUGAGUAAGUGUACGCGCAUAAAUCAAUUAGCUAUAUAUAUUCUUAAAAAGAAAAAAGAAAAAAGAAAAAGAGUUAAGCAUGAUAAAAAAGAAAAUUGGAUAGGGGUUGUUCGCUCUUUAGAAUUAAGAUUGGUAAAAAUUAGAAUUACAUAUUUAUUUAAUUUACGAACACAUUUGAAGUUUAUUUUUUCUACGUUUCAACGUUCUUUAGGAUCUAUCAGAAUUUCAAAAAAAAAUAUUCUCUAAUUUGUAUCCAUUUGAUUGUCUUUUAUAGGGUUUUGUAGGUUUCCUCCAUUUUUUAAAGUCAUAUGCACCACCGCCUGUUUUCAAAAUAUUAUUUUUCUUUUUUUUUAUUAUUCUGAUUUAUGGACAAUCAAUGUACAAACAAUAUAUAUAUAUAUAUAUAUAUUGAAUACUGAGGUGGCAAAUGUAUUUACACAUGGCAUGAUGUGACGGAUUUGGAAAAAAUCCUCAAAUACGCCCAAAAAUUUGAAGAGGCACACCCACACGAAAUUUAGCAUUAUUAUAUAAACACCUUCUUUUUAAUUAAAUCAUACUCCCUUGUUUUCCCUCUCUCUCUCUCUCUCUUUUUCGAUGAAACUUUCAUACUCUCUUCAAUUAAUUUCAAAUCAAGUUUCUAUUUACGAUCAUUAUUUUAAAGGACUAAAUUACUGACAAUAUCUACAAAUAAAAUAAAAAGUAAAAUUUCACAGUUCAUCCAUCAAUUAUAUUUUGCUUUUUUGAUUGAUUUUGAAUUGGGUUAUGUGCCAUUAUUAGAAUGUCAACUAUGAAGAAUCAAAUUCGUUGAGACUCAGCUAUGAUCGGUUUUUCUUUUUAAUAUAUAUGUCUAUUUUAGGAAUAUAAUAUAAACAACAAGUGAGGCUUCGAUCUCAUCCACAACCACCUCUCCCUACAACGGUGCCUCAAAUUUUCAACCCAAUAAAUAAAACGACCCUUCCGAAUUUCAGUCCACUCAGGGAGUAGAAAGAAAAAAAAUAUCAUGGGUAAAGGAGGAAUGUCUCAGGGGGGCAGUGGCGAAGAUGGAGUUGAAGAAAAUAUGGCUGCUUGGCUUCUGGGUAUCAAUAACUUGAAGAUUCAACCUUUCCACCUACCUCCUCUUGGUAUCCCUUUCUCUUCUUAUACUGCUCAAUUACCCGCUUUCCUUUAUAGAUUCUUCAUCUUCCUUAACUUUUUCAAUUUUAUUAAUAUCACUCAACUCUUUCUUGAUGUCGAAUUUCAGGACCCCAUGAUGUUAGAAUUAAGAUGAAGGCCGUUGGUAUCUGCGGCAGUGAUGUUCACUACCUCAAGGUACCGUUUUUCCUGCCUCAGUUGUUUUUUUUUUUUUUUGUUGGUUUUUAAAGUUUUGGAAUCAUGGGUUUAUCUGCUCUGUUCAUUACUAUGUUCAAUCCAUGUCCUUUUUCUUCUUUUUAUUAAUUCUGAUCUGGGAAAUUGACUAGAGAAGAAUAUGCGAUGCUGAUCUUGAGAAAUUCGUAUACUUGGUUUAGUUUACGAGCUCAUACUUUUGUUUUUAUUUGAGCAUGCAAGAAUAAAUUGAUCGGACUUAUGCUUUGUCUCCAUAUUUUCAGAAUCUGAAAUUGGCACACUAUGUUGUUAAAGAGCCAAUGGUGAUUGGGCAUGAGUGCGCUGGGAUUGUUGCUGAAGUUGGGGCUGAUGUUAAGCAUUUAGUGCCGGGGGAUCGGGUUGCACUGGAGCCUGGAAUUAGUUGCUGGAGAUGUGGUCAAUGCAAAGAAGGCCGCUACAAUCUGUGCCCAGACAUGAAGUUCUUUGCCACUCCCCCUAUUCAUGGUUCUCUUGCGAAUGAGGUGAGCGACCUCUGUGCCUCUUGACUCUCCAUAUCAUUUAACCACUUAUUUUAUGAACUCUAGCGAAUUUUAUAGCUAAGGGAAGAAGCAAGGUUUGAUUAUUGUGUCAAAUUUACUGUUGGUUCUCCAUCAAGAUGUUCUUAUAUUUUUGCCUUUUAGAAGAUUAGGUAGUUUUAAAUGGACCAUUAGUAUUACAUGCAUUGAUACGUGCAUUUGGUGCGGAUAACCCUUGUCUGAUGCUUCUCUUGAACUUGAAAUUUUACCCGUUAGUAUUGUGGAAAGUCUAUGUUGUAAGAAGCAUGUGCUGAUUCUUAUUUAGUUGGUUUAUUCAUUGAAUUUUAUGAUAUGAUUUAUGGAGAUCUCAAUGCUAAGACAUGUGUGAUAUAUAUCAAGUUUAUGGUGUUCUCCAUGAUUGCAUGAUGAUCACCUUUUCUUUCUUACAGGUGGUUCAUCCAGCGGACCUGUGUUUUAAAUUGCCAGAAAAUGUUAGCUUAGAGGAAGGAGCCAUGUGUGAGCCCUUAAGUGUUGGUGUUCAUGCUUGUCGACGUGCUAAUGUUGGUCCAGAAACAAAUGUUUUGAUCAUGGGAGCCGGACCAAUUGGGCUUGUAACUUUGAUGGCUGCACGUGCAUUUGGUGCACCCCGGGUUGUCAUUGUUGAUGUGGAUGACUAUCGAUUGUCUGUUGCAAAGGAUCUUGGAGCAGAUGAAGUUGUUAAAGUUUCAAUUGACCUUCAGGUUUCCUGUCUUUAGAAAAUUCAUUUAAAACUCUCCAUUCUUUCGUAGUAACAAUCUUCAGUAAUUUACAUUCACCUGUCCAAUUUUAUUGGUCAAUUGGUCAAAUAUACACUCAAGAAAUACCAGUGUUUUCAAAUCUUACGAAGUGCCAAAUUUGCCAAAGUACAAAGUUUUACUGCGCGUUGCCAACAUAUCUAAUGGUGCAGGAUG
rnacentral:lncRNA from 1 species